UACGUAGGGGGCGAGCGUUGUCCGGAAUUACUGGGCGUAAAGAGCACGUAGGCGGCUAUAAAAGUCAGAUGUGAAAAACCUGGGCUCAACCGAGGGUAUGCAUCUGAAACUAAAUAGCUUGAGUCAAGGAGAGGAGAGCGGAAUUCCUGGUGUAGCGGUGAAAUGCGUAGAGAUCAGGAAGAAUACCAGUGGCGAAAGCGGCUCUCUGGACUUGAACUGACGCUGAGGUGCGAAAGCGUGGGGAG
rnacentral:rRNA from 1 species